CUUGGGAUCUUUGGCAUGUAUAGUGGGUGUUCAGCCUUGAGGUACAGCCUUCCCAUUGGGACACAUAUGCACAAAUGAGUUCUGAGAAAACAGGAAGAAAGAUAUUUAGUACCUUGGUGAUAUGAAAUCCCCAUAUUCUACUAUGAUCCUUUUUUGCAUCCUUUUUGCAAUUCACAGCUUAACUUACAUGUAAUAUACUUCAGAAGUUUGCAUCUGCAUAUAUUAGUCUGAUUUCUAUUGAAUAUUUGGUUUCAAUAAUACAGAUUCCUAAUUUUUCAUCAGAUUCCUUUUCAUAACUGACAACAAUAUUCACUUGCCAAAAGAUUUUUUUUCUAAAGAAAUCAUGAGAUCUUUCUGUUCUUGUAAGAUUCAGGCCAGUACUUUCCAAGUGAUUAUAACAAAUUAUUGCAGAAAGCACACUUGUGAUAGUUAAUUUCAGAUCAUAACACAUACAAUUAUAAUUAACAUAAAAAUAACCUACUGUACACUGAUGCAGUUACAACUGUUUUUUAAUUAUCUCUUUUUUAUCAUAAUAAAGGAAUCGAAGGCAGACACUGAGACAUCUUAAGAAAAGAAAUAUUUGCAUAGUUAAAUGGAUGUUAAAACAAAUAUUGAUAUUUAGGAAUAGUUAAAAUUAUGGAAGGACAAUUCUAGAUGUAAUGAUUGCUGUGAAUGAAAAGUUGUGUAUUCAUUCCUUACUCUUGUUAUUUUAUUUGGCUUAUUUAAAACAUUACCCUUUCAGUGAUUUAUGUCUCAAGCUGCACUGAGUUUCCUGUAAUGUAUGAAAAUCUUAAAAUAAAAUACUCAUUACUGUAGAACAAAGAAAAGGGGCAGCCUGUCCUUAGAGUUGCUGGGGAAUUAUGUGUAGAUACACUUUCUCUACACAGCUUAUUCUUUUCUUGCUCUGCCAGAGAACUCAGCAGCAAUUGUCAUUUGCCCUGUGGGUAUUUCAGCAAGGGAAGUACCAUCUGCACAUAGACUAACUGCAACUCAAAGGUCUUUUGGAGAGUUCAUGUUAUCCCUGAAGCAGCAAAAAUAUGUAUCAGAAUCAGUGCCAAAGGACAAUGCCUGCUUUGGAGCUAUCUCUCUUCUUUCUUGGAAGGAAGGGGACAGGAUUUUAAAAUAUUUCUGUAUGUCAUUUAGAAAAAUUUUUGAUAGAAUGAAAUAAAAUGAAUCAUUGAGAGAGAAUGUUCAGAGUAUGACAAAAGUUCAGAAAGUGGGACCUGAAGAAGAUGGCAGCAGUAGAAUUUCAGCUUAAACUCAGCAGUUAUGAAAGCUACCUGAAGACCACAUACUUGACCUAAAUGAUGAGGAACUAUAUACCUAACACACACACACGCACACACAGAGUUCUGACCACUUAAAAUUGUUAUAUAAAUUGUACCACACUGCUCCAUAUUAUUAAUCUCGGGAGAGAAAUGCUUCAAUUCAUCCUGACAUUAAAAGCUACUGAGUUCUCAAGUGCUUGUGCUGAAUUUCAUUCUGUUUGCACAGUCAAAUGCACUUCUAUGUAUAUGCAAGAAAAGGAACUUUCCCCACUGGCAUCAAUAGGAGAAGUGAAGAAUAAUCCUGUGGAGACAAAUCAUGGUGUUAGCAUCAAUGUAUUACCCAUUCAAGCACUGAUACACAAUAAAUUAAAUUUGUAACCCUC